rnacentral:misc_RNA from 1 species
GUCUUCCCAGGCCCACCACUUUCAUCGAGUGAGCAUUCGUCUUCUGGUUACGGGGCCAUAGCUCAGCUGGGAGAGCGCGUGCUUUGCAAGCAUGAGGUCGUCGGUUCGAUCCCGUCUGGCUCCACCAGAUGGUUUGAUCAUCGACUGAUCGUGCACCGUCGUCCGCGAAACAUCACUUCGCAUCCUGCUAGUCUGGAUAGACAGCAAGAUGCGUGUUUUCUGACAUCGUAAAGAGGAGAUCGAUCCGAGUUGGGUCGUGUAGCAGAUUGCUGCGCGAGCCUUCAUUAUCUCCGGAUCAUUUUCGGCGCUCGCGUCCGGCCGCAAGGUUGGUUCGCAAGUUGUAAAAUGAUCCUUUUAGCGAAGCUUGACCGCCUCGCUAUCGGAACGAUCUUACGAAGCAAGCUGGUCUUUCUAGUCAAUGUCCGGCUGCGACAACAGCAUCUUCGAGGGUGCAUGCCUUCAAUGGCAGUUGCGCAGACAACAUUCUGCCGAGUGUGUGGACAUUGAUAAUGAGAGCAAUCAAGUGCCUUAAGGGUGUUCGGUGGAUGCCUUGGCGCUGAGAGGCGAUGAAGGACGUGCUACGCUGCGAUAAGCC